AUGACAGGCAGCGAAGGACUACAGGUCGGAUUCGAACCCGGGCCGCUGCAGCAACUACAUAAAACGGAAUCACCAACUCUGUUCCCUUUGGUUCAAUGCAACUCUGGGUCUGAAGAUAAAAUCACUGUUGGUUGUCUUGCACACGACUUCUUCCCAAAGGGUCUUGCUUUCCAAUGGACUGAUGCCAGUGGAACCAGCCUGACUUCUGAUCAAUAUCCUCUAGCAGAGAAAAACAACAAAUAUACAGGAGUCAGCUUGAUCAAAGUAUCAAAGACUGACUGGAAUUCAUGGAAAUCUUUUAAUUGUUCUGUGUCUCACCAAGGAGGCCCCAACAGUCUGAAUGUGGAAAGACCGUCAUUCUCUCCAAAGGUAACUUUGGUAUCAGUGCCAAGGGGAGACUCUCAGGCCCUGGUGUGUACAGUUGAGGAUUUUCUUCCAAAAGACUUGACAAUCAAGUGGAAAAAGAAUCAGAACAAUGAGGCUGGCACUAACUGGGACCCCGUAAUGAAUGGAGAACUGCUCAGGGCGUCCCUCACCUCCUCAGAGCCAGGGUCAGCAGAGUCUGAGAGAACCCGUCCCCAGCUCCUGUACCUGUGGGGGAGUGGAAAGGACCUCACUCGGCUUGGCUGCACCUUGGAUUCCGUCAGAAACCAGGGGAAGGACAUAGGAAUGGAUCGGACGCAUUGA